rnacentral:rRNA from 1 species
UAGUCCACGCCGUAAACGAUGAGUGCUAGAUGUCGGGGGACAUAGUCCUUCGGUGUCGCAGCUAACGCAUUAAGCACUCCGCCUGGGGAGUACGGUCGCAAGAUUAAAACUCAAAGGAAUUGACGGGGCCCGCACAAGCGGUGGAGCAUGUGGUUUAAUUCGACGCAACGCGAAGAACCUUACCAGCCCUUGACAUACCAAUCGCGAUUUCCAGAGAUGGAUUUCUUCAGUUCGGCUGGAUUGGAUACAGGUGCUGCAUGGCUGUCGUCAGCUCGUGUCGUGAGAUGUUGGGUUAAGUCCCGCAACGAGCGCAACCCUCAUCCUUAGUUGCCAGCAGUUCGGCUGGGCACUCUAAGGAAACUGCCGGUGACAAGCCGGAGGAAGGUGGGGGAUGACGUCAAGUCCUCAUGGGCCCUUACGGGGCUGGGGCUACACACGUGCUACAAUGGCAA